rnacentral:rRNA from 1 species
CCUACCGGAGGCUGCAGUGGGGAAUCUUCCGCAAUGGGCGAAAGCCUGACGGAGCAACGCCGCGUGAUCGAAUGAAGGCCUUCGGGUUGUAAAGAUCUGUUGACAGGGACGAAUAAGCAAUGCGAAUAGUUUUGUGUAUGACGGUACCUGUUUAGAAAGCUCCGGCUAACUACGUGCCAGCAGCCGCGGAAAUACGUAGGGAGCAAGCGUUGUCCGGAAUUACUGGGCGUAAAGGGCGCGUAGGUGGGCGCUUAAGUCAGGGGUGAAAUCUCCGGGCUCAACCUGGAGACUGCACUUGAAACUGGGUGUCGUGAGGGCAGGAGAGGAAAGUGGAAUUCCUAGUGUAGCGGUGAAAUGCGUAGAUAUUAGGAAGAACACCAGUGGCGAAGGCGACUUUCUGGACUGUACCUGACGCUGAGGCGCGAAAGCGUGGGUAGCGAACGGGAUUAGAUACCCCGGUAGUC